ensembl:lncRNA
GAGUGGGCUCCAGGAAAGGGGAGAAACUAGGCAGCAGGAGCAGACACCUCUGAGCCUGCAAGGGCAAGGGGGGUUGGUUUCUAGGCCGCCAAGAGUGCAGAGAGGCCCAAUGCCACAGCCCUGAUUUGGGCAUCUGCUGCCAUGUCUAGGAGGUCAGGGCUGUGACCUGCUUCUAGCUCCAGCCGGGUCCUUCAGUGUGCAGCCGCUUAUGACCCCUUGCAGCUUGGGACAGGAGCUCUAGGUGGCCCCAGGCUGGUGUCCUGGGCAGGGGCAACGUCUAUGUGAGCUCACAUGUCUCCAGGCAAACAACUCCCCCUGUCCCCGCCUUACUCAGUUUGCGGCCCUGUCAAGGAGUCUCGGAGUAGACUGUGGGCCCCGGGGCCUUGCCAUGGAGACUAUCAAGCGUGGUGGUCACCCGACGCGGGGCGGACCUGGAGACAUAACCCUUAGGAUCCCUGCGCAGAGGCCUCCCUGAGGUCCAGCAACCUGGCACCGUAGCAUGGGCCAGGUUCCGGAAGUGGUGCUACUCCCACUUCCUGCUGCUGCUCCCACUUCCUGCCGCUGCCCCCACUUCCUGCCCCUCCUGGAAGUGGUGCAGCUCCCACUUCCUGCCCCUCCCGGAAGCGGGGAGCCCGCUCCUCCUCCUCCCUGCACCCUCCCUUCAGCAGAAGCCAGUGAGAAGAGUGAGGGGGAGCCAGAGCCGGGACUCUGAGGCCAAGGGCGGGUCUGGGUCCUGCCACCAGCGCCGGUCCUCUCCGCCGUGCAGGGCCCGCAGGGCCAUCACCGUGGCCGGUCAGUCCGUCAUCUUCUCCCCAGCCAUAGGAGUCCAUAGUAGGAGAAACAAUCAGAAGAUUGUUUUAUUUGGUCAAGAAAAUAUUAUCAAGUAGAUUUCACACAGUGUUUGGAUUGUGGACCAGGGAGCUGGAGGCAAGAAAGGAUUCACAGCAAUGCAACGCCGUAUUUUAUGAUCGGUGACGCAGAAAAACGUUUCAUAUUGACAGUCGGCAGUAACUGUGGAAAUCAGAUGCCAGCGAGAAACACAGAUUGCAGCCAGAAGAAACUAGAAUGAUAGAAAAGCUUGAACAACAUGACGGAAAAGGGAUUUAAAGAAAACCAAAGUAUUGGACAAAAAAAUUCAGUAUCUUUGCCUUUACGUUGUUUAUUUUUAAAUUUUAGAAUAAUUAUUGCUUCAAAGGAAGCUGCAAAGAUGAUAGACAGAGGUCUCCUCCAUCCUCCACCCAGGUUCUCAGUAUGAUUGCACCAUCCAUAAUUACAUCAGAACCGUGAAUCUGGAAUUGGUACAAUAUAUGUGUCCAGUUUUACUAAUUUUAUCACCUGCGUGGAAGUGUGUAACCGCCAGUGCAAUUAAGACACAGAACUCUUCCACCAGCACCAAAGUCUCCUUCAUGUUACCCAUUUAUAGCCACACCCAGUUCUUCUCUCCAGCCUAAAUCCCUGACCACUGGCAACCACUGAUGUGUUCCCCUUCUCUCUAAUUUCGUCAUUUCAAGAACGUUUUAUCAGUAGAGUCACACAUAGCACAGGUGCAUAUUUACUUAUACAGUUAAAAUCAAACCUUUAUGUUGACUUUUGUCUCAGCAUAAAUGGCCUUGACAUCCAUUCAAAUUUGCAUAUUGAUAGCUUGAUACAUUUUAUUGCUGAAUAGUAUUCCGUGCUAUGAAUGUGCCAUAGCUUUUUUGUUCCCCUAUUGGAGAAAUUUCAGGUGUUUCUACUUUUGGCUAUCGCAAACAAAGCUGAGAUGAACAAUAGUGUGAAUGUUUUUGUUUGUAGAUACGUUUUCAUGUCUCUAGGAUAACCCAAGAUUAUGAUAACUGGAUCAUAUGGUAAGAAUAGUUUUUUAAGAAACUGCCUAAAUUAACUUCUAGAUUGUCUUUACCAUUUUACAUUCCUAUCAGCAAUGUACAAGAGAUUGUUUCUCUGCAUCUUUGCCACAUUUUGAUGUUUGCAAC